ACUCCUACGGGAGGCAGCAGUGGGGAAUAUUGCACAAUGGGCGCAAGCCUGAUGCAGCCAUGCCGCGUGUAUGAAGAAGGGCCUUCGGGUUGAUAAAGUACUUUUCAGUCAGAUGAGGAAGGUGGAGUCAGUUAAUAGCGGCCUCAUUUGACGUUAGCUGCAGAAGAAGCAACCGGCUAACUCCGUGCCAGCAGCCGCGGUAAUACGGAGGGUGCGAGCGUUAAUCGGAAUUACUGGGCGUAAAGCGCAUGCAGGUGGUUUGUUAAGUCAGAUGUG
rnacentral:rRNA from 1 species